AACGAACGCUGGCGGCGUGCCUAACACAUGCAAGUCGUGCGAGAAAGUUCCUUCGGGAGCGAGUAAAGCGGCGCACGGGUGAGUAACACGUAGGUAACCUGCCCCCCAGUCUGGAACAACUAGAGGAGACUCUAGCUAAUGCCGGAUGAGACCACGAUCCCUUCGGGGGUUGCGGCCAAAGAUGGCCUCUACUUGUAAGCUAUCGCUGAGGGAUGGGCCUGCGGGCCAUUAGCUUGUUGGUGAGGUAACGGCUCACCAAGGCUGUGAUGGCUAGCUGGUCUGAGAGGAUGACCAGCCACACUGGGACUGAGACACGGCCCAGACUCCUACGGGAGGCAGCAGUGGGGAAUAUUGCGCAAUGGGCGAAAGCCUGACGCAGCGACGCCGCGUGGGUGAUGAAGGCC
rnacentral:rRNA from 1 species